UUCUAGGAUACAGUCUGAGGGCAUCCCUGUUUAACGCACAGAGGAGAAAACCCAGCCAGAACUCCAUUAGGGUGGAUGGAGAGGAAGAGACUAAGGAUUCACACAUCACGAAGACAUUUGUGGAAGACGGAGUGUGUUUCCAUUAUCCUUUCAGAGUUUGCAAACGAGGCGGUGCCCAGCAUAGACAGGUUCUCUGCCCACCCAUCCUGAAUCCACAAGGCCACAGAUGCAGAAAGGAUAUUUAAUAAAGUUCAACACUGAGUCCUGACAAACACUGCAAGAAAGCUCAAACGGAAAGGAAGUUCCUUACUGUGAUUGAGAAUAUAUCAUACUUCUGGUAUGCUACUGAAAGCUUCUGAGGUUGGGGAUAAGACAAGGGCUCUGUCUGUCACCAUUUCUCUUGAACCUUACAAUGGAAUUUGGCACUAUGGGAGUUGCAAAUCAACACAGUGGCCACUCAAGGAGAAGCAAGGGGUGGCUGGAAGGAGAGGUGCCCCUGGAGUUCUGUAAAAUCUGCUUCUUGAUGUGCCUUUGAGUGUUCUCUUUGUGUAAAUUCUUUGAACUGCACUCUUAUGAUUUGUGCAUAUUUCCCUAUGAAAAUUAUACCUCAAUAAAAUAUUGACUUAAAUAACA
rnacentral:lncRNA from 10 species